rnacentral:ncRNA from 1 species
AAUGCAAGUCAUCAGCUUGCGUUGAUUACGUCCCUGCCCUUUGUACACACCGCCCGUCGCUCCUACCGAUUGAGUGAUCCGGUGAGCUGUCCGGACUGCGAUUAGUUCAGUUUCUGUUCUCUUCGCGGGAAGUUCUGCAAACCUUAUCACUUAGAGGAAGGAGAAGUCGUAACAAGGUUUCCGUAGGUGAACCUGCGGAAGGAUCAUUC